UCUCCUGCAGUGUGAAGUAGCUCUCAGAAUCUCCCUAUUGCAAUCUGCUAAGACAAAGAAUUGCUGCAUCCUGGAGAUACGUACUUCCUGUAGAAUCAGAACUGGCUAACAGACUAGCAUGUGAAGUCUCUGAUUCUGGCAUGAAUCACAGCUCUUUGCCAUCCAGCUCUUCCCUGAGGUCUGCAUGGCUAGCAGUCAACCAGAGCAUGCUAUAAAGAGCAGAGGCAUUCAUCCAAGGAAGC